rnacentral:rRNA from 1 species
CGGAUUUAUUGGGUUUAAAGGGUGCGCAGGUGGCCUUGUAAGUCAGUGGUGAAAGUCUGCCGCUUAACGGUAGGAUUGCCAUUGAUACUGCAGGGCUUGAGUUUGGAUGAGGUAGGCGGAAUGUGUAGUGUAGCGGUGAAAUGCAUAGAUAUUACACAGAACACCGAUUGCGAAGGCAGCUUACUAACCCACAACUGACACUGAGGCACGAAAGCGUGGGGAUCAAACAGGAUUAGAUACCCGAGUAGUCGUCAGUAC